UUUCCUUAUUCUGAAAUGAGUGAAGAGACUAAUCCUGGUGCAUACAGAGAUUCGAAUGCGAUUCUCACUAUAACAAAGGGAAUCAGCGAUCCCUAUGACUUGUGUCAGUUCUGCUUUCGUGGAAGCACAGAACGCGGACUUAGGAUGGCAGCCCUUCGAGAGGGAGGCGGGGUUUAUUUCCCACACCACAUCUCUCCCUUGGGCUGUCUAAGUUUACGUUUGUUUACAGUUGCGGUAGACGGCGACGAGUCAGUGUCCCAAUAAAACUGGGAUGCUCUCGAAUAGGAAGAUUGUAGCACUUCACCAGUAUCUGAUGAGGAUGCUGUAUCUGUUUAUGAUAACAUUGUCUUCGUGAUUUUGCUAGAACAUAUGAAAGUGAUCAUAUUUCGUAUUUAAAAUACUGUAAUUGGUUCUACGUUGACGUAUUUGAUGAUGGUUUGGGACAGCCUGUGAAUUUCCUAAGCAUUUCAUUCAGUGUCGGCAUGGUAGUUCUGUAGUGCUGGAAUGGGGUGAUGUUGCAUGUUAGUGUUUUAAGGAAUGGAAUAAGACCAUAAAAUAACUGAGAGUUCUUGGGGCUGUACAUCUGUGAACACCUCAUGGUCCAGAGAUCUCCAAGAAAUUACAAGUGAUUUGGCUCCAGUCACAACCCGGGUGUUCCCGUGGAACUGUGACAGCCUAUGGUUCACUGUCUCUGAUGCUACGCAUCGUCUCGGUGGGUAUAAAGUGCUUUGUUUUUCUGUAAUUAUUCCUUGAAGAAGGACUGAUAAAGUGAGUACCAUGCAAUGCGUGUUUGAUAGACAUACAGACAUACCACCCGCUUUUGAGUGUUGCAAAUGAAUUUACAAAAAUCUGAAGUCAAUGUCAAGUACAAUAAUAGGUAUUUAGCAAGACAUUAUCCAGAAUUGCCUAGUUUUGAAAGUAUUUAAGGCAGAAGGGUGUGAGAACAAGGUAGCUACUAACAAUAUUGAUAUCAGAAAAUUCAAACAUUGAGGUGGUAAAGGUAAUGGUGUGCCAAUUACUAAUGCUACACAUUAUGUAAGGAACAUGAAAGUAUACACUACACUAUCAUUAUAAAAUUUAUUUGAAAAAUUAAAUAAAUUGCACUGACAUCCUUCAUUUCUGCUGCCCUUUGUACAGUCAAGAAUGGUACAGUGUGUCACCAGUUUUGAGAACCUGAAAUGGGGCAAGCUGAAACUAUUCUACUUGCAAUUGUUCUACUCAUUUUUAAUAACUAUUGUGGUUCCUUGUC